CGGCCGCCAGAGCGCGCCGGAACCCGGCUCGCGGGGUCGGCCCGAGAGGCAGGAGGCAGGAGGGGAGAAGGGAAGGGAGCCAGGUGGGCGCUCGGCCCCAACUCCCCGGGCGCAGGAAGCCCAGACGAGGGGACUUCAUAUGCAAAAAGGGGGCAUGGCCAACAACUGGACCCUCUGGCCACCUGUCCUGCCUGCUGCGUGAUUCUUCCAAGGACCAACAGGCACUCAGGGUCACGCCCAUUUCCGGUGCAAUUGUUUGGGAAGAGAAUUUUGUUCACAGUAUGGUCUAUUCCUAAUCAUCAGCCCAAGACGCUCCUGCUGACUGGUGAUCGGAAGGCUCAUGUCUUCCUCACAGGUGGUCUCCUGACAUAAGCGAACAUCAGAUUUCACAACUCACCUUUGGGUGAGGCCAGCCUGUCCAACAAGAGAGAAUUUGCCUUUGCUUCUGUCAGCAGUCUGGAGUGCAACUAGUAUGUCAACAAUUUAAGGCAUUUUAUAAAAAGUAAAAAUUAAAGAUGCUGUGAACAGCGGUCAGAGAUUGGUAAACUGCAACAGCUGACCAGAUUUGGCCAGUGGCCUCUUUUGUAUAUGCCCUCCCACACCAAGAAUGGUUUUUACAGUUUUAAACGACUGUUUAAAGGGUGUUUAAAAACUCACACAAGAAUUAAACACUGGACUGUAGCCCAGUCCCUCCUCUAUCUCCCCCAUCACACAAUUGUUCUCCUGUUUGGUAGAGUUUUUAUUGCCACAUAGGCCAUCCUGUUUUCCUCUCUUUUGAAAAAAAAUUCAGGUACAAACUACCCCUCCAAUCAGGAGUCCCCAAGAUGGGCUGCCUUUUGGUUUUCAGAAGCUGCCAGUGGGUUUCUGUGUGUUGUGUUAUGAUAUCAAUGAUUUUUAAAAUUAUAUUGUUGUUCUUGUUUUUUUUAUAUGGUAUACUUAAAAGCCAGUAUCUCUUGUACUAUAAAUUUGCAGAAAAAGAUGCAUAAUGUACUUUUGUUUUUCCUUCUGUUGGA